GUGCGAUCUCGUUAAUGUGCAGGUGUUAAUACAGCAGCACCUUCAUAUCCAGCGAGCAGGACACAGAGACAGACAGCAGCUACUCCACUCUCUAGCAGAAAACACCCCCCGGAGUGACAGGGCAUUUCUGAGCAUCGCAACGAUGUGCAGACUGACGGUCUUCAUUGUGGCUGUCUGUGCAUUGAUGGUGGGUCUCUCAGUCUGCUGCCCCCCAAGAAGAUACCACGUCAGCAGAGAUACAAAGACCUGGGACCAAGCUCGUCAAUACUGUCAAAGUAAUUUCAUUGAUCUGGUUAGUGUUCCCAGUGAAGAGGAAAUGCUGGCAGUCAAGGCACUGAUUUCCCGGGUCUCAGAGUACACGUUUUGGUUGGGUCUGCGCAGAAACACAGUCAGCUCGCCUUGGGAAUGGUCAACCGGUGUGGCCUUUCAAUACAGCAAAUGGCUGAGUUGGGAACCAGAUGCUAAUGGAGAUUGUGGAGUCAUGAUUCCCACCGGAGAGUGGGGAGCUGAAC